GGUCAGCCUAGUUCAAGGCUGCCUGGGUUUGGACAAGCCGUCGGUGUCACCGGAGAGAGAGAGGUGCGAGAAGCCUCCGGUUGGAGCCUGGUUAACGGAAGGAACUUCUAGAAGCUUCUCUCAGUCCUUGCCCUAGUUCCUGAGCUCUGCUUUUGCUAUCAGAUCUGACUGUGGACCAGAUGCCUCCUCCUAAGAACUCUCACCAUUAUUGACUUAGGACAUGCACACCUUUGGGGAACCAUUGUUCAGUCUGGCAGCAGGAGGUUAUUGCCCAAGAGUGAGGGCAUCACCGGUAUGUUAACAAUGUGAAUGAAAGGUUGCUUUGGUAACACCUACUAAAUACAUCAAUUUUAUAUCAACAGUAAGUAUACUGUUACCAAAAUACAGUAGUCCAAAUGGUGAUUAUCUGGGUGUCCUCUUAAGGCUCCCAAAUAACCGCGUUAUGUCUUUGGAGUCACCCUUUCCAAUGUUAUCAGAUAAUGUGUUGGAAGGACCUCGGAGGAGGAGACGCAGCACGGUACUGGAGAUGUCUGCUGCAGAAGAAAAAUGUCGGGAGCUGGACGCUAACUCUCUUCCCUCAUCAAGGGACAGCUUAAAGGCAAAUUCUGAGGAAGGAAGCGCUAUCCACUGCGUGGUGCCCCUGGGAGCUACUGAAUUCACUGUCACCAGAGACUUGGGCACACGGAGUUCUUCUGAAAUCACAACAGCCGGAAGCCACGCCCACCUCUCCUAGCACUCACUCUGGUUCUAGCCACCGGCUUGAGGAAGCAGAGAGGAACACAGCACCCAGGGGCAGAUAAGGCCUUUGUAACUGCAGGAAUGGGCUCCCCCUGGCUGACAGAUUUAUGGAGGGUUCAUUUCCUCUAUUUGUCUCUUAACUGGCUUGUGUACUUUGGGUCUGCAAAGGCCUGCUUGCCCCGGUGAUCACGUCCAGACGGAUUUCAAAGAAAGGAAAUGGUGUCGUUGAAGUGCCAAUGAGCAGAAUUCCUGCUGAUUAAUUUUUUUCCUUAUUGUUUCCACCAAAGGCAGUAGGUACCUAUUUCUUUCAGGGUAAUAAAUUUCAUCUUGUCAUUUCAAGAUUA